rnacentral:rRNA from 1 species
UACGUAGGGUGCAAGCGUUAAUCGGAAUUACUGGGCGUAAAGCGUGCGCAGGCGGUUCGCUAAGACCGAUGUGAAAUCCCCGGGCUUAACCUGGGAACUGCAUUGGUGACUGGCGGGCUAGAGUAUGGCAGAGGGGGGGUAGAAUUCCACGUGUAGCAGUGAAAUGCGUAGAGAUGUGGAGGAAUACCGAUGGCGAAGGCAGCCCCUGGGCCAAUACUGACGCUCAUGCACGAAAGCGUGGGGAGC